rfam:Brachypodium distachyon strain Bd21 chromosome 1, whole genome shotgun sequence.
CAAAUAGUCCCUCCGUCCAACAAAGGAUGUCUCAACUUUGACUAAACUUGAAUACAUCUAUACACUAAGUCAUGUUUAGAUACAUCCAAAUUUUGACAAACUUGAGACAUCUUUUGUUGGACGGAGGGAGUACAUA